rnacentral:rRNA from 2 species
GAAAGUCUGAUGAGGCACGUCGCGUGAGUUAUGAAGGUUUCGGAUCGUAAAGUCUGUGUAAGGGAGGACACGUCCGAGAGGAAUGCUCUGCCUGGCGGUACCUUCGAGAAGACACGGCUAACUACGUGCCAGCAGCCGCGCUAAUACGUAGGUGGCAAGCGUGUCCGGAAUUAUUGGGCGUAAAGCGCGCGCAGACGCCCUUUUAAGUCUGAUGUGAAAGCCUCCGGCUCAUCCGGGGAGGGCCACUGGAAACUGGAAGGAUUGAGUACAGAAGAGAAGAGGGGAGUUCCACGUGUAGCGGUGAAAUGCGUAGAGAUGUGGAGGAACACCAGUGGCGAAGACGACUCUUUGGUCUGUAACUGACGCUGAGGCGCGAAAGCGUCGGGAGCAAACACGAUUAGAUACCCUGGUAGUCCACGCCGUAAACGAUGAGUGCUAGGUGCUGGGGGGUUUCCGCCCCUCAGUGCUGAAGCUAACGCAUUAAGCACUCCGCCUGGGGAGUACGGCCGCAAGGCUGAAACUCAAAGGAAUUGACGGGGACCCGCACAAGCGGUGGAGCAUGUGGUUUAAUUUGAAGCAACGCGAAGAACCUUACCAACUCUUGACAUCCCAUUGACCGCUUGAGAGAUCAAGUUUUCCCUUCGGGGACAAUGGUGCCAGGUGGUGCAUGGUUGUCGUCAGCUCGUGUCGUGAGAUGUUGGGUUAAGUCCCGCAACGAGCGCAACCCCUAUCUUUAGUUGCCACCAUUGAGUUGGGCACUUUAGGGAGACUGCCGGUGACAAACCGGAGGAAGGUGGGGAUGACGUCAAAUCAUCAUGCCCCUUAUGAGCUGGGCUACACACGUGCUACAAUGGUCGGUACAAAGGGCAGCGAGACCGCGAGGUGGAGCCAAUCCCAUAAAGCCGUUCCCAGUUCGGAUUGCAGUCUGCAACUCGCCUGCAUGAAGUCGGAAUCGCUAGUAAUCGCAGGUCAGCAU